rnacentral:rRNA from 1 species
UUCAGGGGUAAACCUGAGAAACCCGAAAGAUCGAAUGGGGAGAUUCAUCGUCAGCGAUUUUGGUACGUGUGCGGUUCGGGAUGCCGGUGACUUCGGUCACUCGACACUCGUCUGCAUGUUUAUUAUUGCCUGAAUCGUCGGCGUGCACUUCUCCCCUAGUAGGACGUCGCGACCCGUUGGGUGUCGGUCUACGGCUCGAAUGGUAGCCUGUCUCGCGUGCGUCUCACGGCGUUUCGCGGGUCAGACCUUCGAUCGCCCGACCGGCUGCUCGGCGGUACUCGCACGGUAUCUGGCCGCAAAUAUUUGAACUGCGUCCGGCCCGUCGCAAGCGAGGCAAGUGUUCCCGGCUGUACGGAUUUAAUGCCGUCGCCGGGCCUUGACAGCUGUUGGUUGACGGUGUCCUGGGACUGGCCAACAAAAUUAUGAUACCGGUCGGCGACGCUACUGCUUUGGGUACUUUCAGGACCCGUCUUGAAACACGGACCAAGGAGUCUAACAUGUGCGCGAGUCAUUGGGAACUAUUAAACCUAAAGGCGCAAUGAAAGUGAAGGUCGGCCUUGCGCCGACCGAGGGAGGAUGGGCCGCGUCACGAUGCGGUCUCGCACUCCCGGGGCGUCUCGUUCUCAUUGCGAGAAGAGGCGCACCCAGAGCGUACACGUUGGGACCCGAAAGAUGGUGAACUAUGCCUGGUCAGGACGAAGUCAGGGGAAACCCUGAUGGAGGUCCGUAGCGAUUCUGACGUGCAAAUCGAUCGUCGGAACUGGGUAUAGGGGCGAAAGACUAAUCG